CACGUAGGCACCAAGCGUUGUCCGGAUUUAUUGGGCGUAAAGAGCUCGUAGGCGGUUCGGUUAGUCGGGUGUGAAAACUUUGGGCUCAACCCAAAGCGUGCACUCGAUACUGCCGUGACUAGAGUUCGGUAGGGGAGUGGGGAAUUCCUAGUGUAGCGGUGAAAUGCGCAGAUAUUAGGAGGAACACCGGUGGCGAAGGCGCCGCUCUGGGCCGAAACUGACGCUGAGGAGCGAAAGCGUGGGUAGCAAACAGG
rnacentral:rRNA from 1 species